AUUGAACGCUGGCGGCAUGCCUAACACAUGCAAGUCGAACGAGUGGCGGACGGGUGAGUAAUGUCUGGGAAACUGCCCGAUGGAGGGGGAUAACUACUGGAAACGGUAGCUAAUACCGCAUACCAUCGGAUGUGCCCAGAUGGGAUUAGCUAGUAGGGGGGGUAACGGCUCACCUAGGCGACGAUCCCUAGCUGGUCUGAGAGGAUGACCAGCCAAACUGGAACUGAGACACGGGCCAGACUCCUACGGGAGGCAGCAGUGGGGAAUAGUGCACAAUGGGCGCAAGCCUGAUGCAGCCAUGCCGCGUGUAUGAAGAAGGUCUUCGGGUUGUAAAGCACUUUCAGCGGGGAGGCGUUACCCGCAGAAGAAGCACCGGCUAACUCCGUGCCAGCAGCCGCGGUAAUAC
rnacentral:rRNA from 1 species